AUCUGAUGAAGUGGGUUUUAGCCCACAAAAACUUAUACCCCCCAAAAUUUGUUAAUCUCUAAGGUGCCACAAGGACUCCUUGUUGUUUUUGCUGAGACAGACUAUCAGGGCUACUGCUCUGAAACCUAUAUGAUUAUUGUGAUUCUUCACAUAUCUGCACUUUAAGAGAAAGUAGGAUCUUUAUGUACAGUGCCUGGAUGAUGAUUUUAUAUUUUUUAAUACUUAAGAUUCAUUAGCUGUAACCUUCUUGAUAUGUCUUGUUACAUAUUGCAAUGGUUAUGUACCAUAGCAACCUUAACUAACACUUGAGAGAUAUUUCAAAGACAUGAUUUCAGCUUGAGAGCAGGAAUAAUAGAAAGAAGCCUUUUUUUUUUAUGCUUAAUUCCCCUCAAUUCCUCCCAAGAACAAAAACAAAUAUCUGGCUACCCAGCUUUUUUCUAUGGCUUCAAAUCCAGAAUGUAAUCUAAAAUAUGUGGGCUUAUUAUGCAGCUGAUCAGGUCAGUACAAAGACACCGAGUGUUAUAAAAAAGCUGUUGAUGUGGAUACAGAUGCAAUGAAACACAAGACACAGCAAUGUGGGUUAAAGGUGGAGGCCAUAGCUUUAUUAAACAUUAACUCAAAUAGAGUAAAAGCAUCCCAACUGCUACAGGAUUAGAGAGUUCCAAUGCUGUUUUCAAGAUAGCCACAGGUGUAACAGAAACCAUAAAGGAGGGACGGUCUAUUCCUGCUCUUUCCAUUAAGCCACUAGCUAAGGGCUUACCUAGAUAGCGAAUGUCCCAGUCCUCUCAUUCACAUAACAUUAGGUCUUUAAUAUUAGGGAGCCCCAAGCUGCACAAGAUAUGGUGGCUGGAACCUCCAAGCCAACUGUACAGAGUCAGACACAGACUAGCAUCCAGCUGAAGUUAAGAGUCCUGUUCAGGGCCAAAUUAACCCAUUGGCUAAAAGCCUCCUAUUUUUAGGCUCUAAUGGUCAGGCAGGGGGUGCGGCCAGGGCCAACUGAAGUGCGGGGAAACGAGCUUGCUCAUGCAGCCCUGCUGGAGUUCAACUGCCAGCAGAAAAGGCAAAGCAGACCCCUGUGGCUUGGAAGCAGGGCCAGCUCCAGGCACCAGCAGAGCAAGCUGGUGCUUGGGGCAGCAGAUUCCAAGGGGCGGCAUUCCGGCCGCCCUUUUUUUUCCUUUUUCUUUUUGGUGUGCCGCUCAGGCCACCCUGUAGGGGGCGGCAGCCUGGAGGAGGGGAGCACCCUGCAGCAAACUCGACAGGGCAGCCCGCGUCCUUCCCUCCCAGCCUACCAGAGUGGCGCGGAGCCCUUCUCCCAGACCAGCUCCCUGCAUCCUGCCAGAGGGGAGGCGUUGAAGUGCCCAGACGGAGCCACCAGCCGGCUCCAGGAGACGCGGGAGCCCAGCACCGUGGCGGGAGGAUGUGCUGAGCCGCCCCCAGAGGUGGGGGCACUGCUCCCGCUUGGCCAGUUCCAAGAGCUGAAGGUGUUUUCACAUGUAUCACAGCAGAAUGGAAGAGGGUGAAGGUCAAAAGGUAAACUUCAUAUGUUGCAAUGCAUUUUCACAGGCUGAAUCAGUACCCAUGUGAUUUGUAGUGUUGUUCACACACUUUAAUGUAUAAGAGUGGAGGGAAACAACAUGGGGGGAAAAGAACUAGAGAAAAAUUAAUGCAAAAAAUUGCUCAAGGUGUUUCUGACAAUCUCUGUUUUGCUGGUGUUGUUCUUUAUCUUCCUUCUUAUUAUUUUACACUUAGAAGAGAAAUUAUCUUUUUUUUUCCUUUGUGGAAGAAGUGAAGUGGGUCUGGAAGAAAAUUUACAGGAUAGGAGGACCAGACAAUUGCUAGUGUAAAAGUGAAAGAAUGGAGAUAAUGAAAGAAGAAAAAUUAGGAGAAAAGCAAAUCAUGAAAUGCACACACUAAGUCUUCAGCUUAUGGUAUAGCAUUGAUAUGCAUCAAUAGAAACAGGAGCAUCUGUAUUAUAACAAGUACUAGAUCUUCUCUUUGUAAUGAGAGCUAGAGGGUAAGAGUAAUCCCAGUCUUAACAAGAUUCCACUUCCAGAUCUUAAACUAUAAGUAUGUUUCAGACCUCACAACAGCUUUAUGUUGGUGUAACUCAAUUAACAUAAUUGGUGUUGUUCCUGAUUUAUACUAGUGUGAUGUCAGAAUCAGACCCAUCUUGUUUGCUACUCUGAGCAUGCCACAUAUGUUUUGGAAAAACUGAAUGUUGUUAAAAUGAUUGCCAUGUUCCACCUCAGAGAUGGCUGUAUUUCAAUGGUGGCUGGCGUGAUUAAGCCUAAUCCCGAAUCUCUUCCGCAGGCAAAAUUUCCAUUGACUUCACAUGAGUUCUUACCUGAGUCAGGAGUUCAGAAUUAGAUUUUAUAAUUUGUAAAUUGCUAUAGGUCAAUACAUGUAUAAAGCAGUAAUAGUAGUAAUAAUAGUACUCAAAUCACUUGUUCCCUUAAUGAGCCCACACCGUGAAUUCCUGUUGUUUGUGAAUGGGCUUUUUUAUGGCAUUUGUCACCAUCA
rnacentral:lncRNA from 1 species